AUCGAGCCAGAGAGGCGAAAAGCAAAAACCUCUAACCUUCUCAGGUUCUUCCGUCGAUCUCUAGAUCAAACGUCAUUCUCCAUUCUUUUGUGUUUUUUCUCCUCCUUUUCUUUUAUUAAUAUCUGCUUGUCUUGUACAAAGCGAGAUAGAGAAAGUAGAAAUUAGGGUUUCAAUCUUUAUUACAUGACAAAUCUGAAUCGAUGGCGAUUGAUGGAUUUCGGAGAAAUUAAGGUUUCAGACUUUCUUUCAGUAGAUAGAUGGAUUCGGUGAAAAGGGUAUUGGUUCCUCAUUACUUCAAGAUGUAAGAGAGGGGUGUUGUGAUCGAUAGAUUCUGAUGCUCUGAAGAACAUAGGGUUAGAAUUCAGAUUUCUGCUGCUGAUUCAUGGCGAGAAAGAGAUGAAGAAUUGAAGAUUAAAUAGGGAUUUUGUUGGUGAUUGAGUUACAAAGAUGGGUUCAAUUGAAUUUAGGGGUUUCAACUGAUUUGAUUUCAACAAUUGAUGAUGAUUUAGGUUUGUAGAAGAUGGAUCUGUGGUGACUUAUGAGAAGAAGAAUUGGUAGUUUUAGGUUUGCAAUUUGGUCAUUGUCAUAUCAGGAUGGAGAAGACUAAUGAAGUCAUGGGUUAAGUUGAUUUGUAGGUCAACUUGUGAGAUAAUUUGGUGUUGGCUUUACAGAGAAUGGUGUGAAUUUUGGAGACAAUUUUUGGAGGUUUGAUUCAGUUCAAUUUUGUGCGCACCUGUCUUAUCAGUUAUCGAUGUGAAGAACAAAAACAUUGAAAUUAUGGGGAACACUCUUUACAAGGCAUACCUCAAGGAUUUCUUUAAGUUUUACCAGGACCAAUUGCAUUGAUUGCCUGGUAGAAUCUACAUGAAAGACAAGAGCAUAACUUCAGGUUGAAUUGGGUUUCUUUAGUCUCGAGAGAUAACCGUCAAGAUGAUGGUGCUGACUUCAACUGGAUUCUCUCGUUGUUUCAGUAAUGUAACUUUUGCAGAGAUUGAGGAUGCGGAGAAAGUGAGCACUUUCUUGUUAACAGAAUUCUGGAAGUAAAAGUUGCCACACCAAAGGUUGUAGUGCUAAAGCUGCUUUUAGCUACACUCUCUCGAAGUUGCUUACCAGCACUACUCUCUCGAAGUUUUUUGAAGAGUUAAAUAGCCUACUUGUUACUGUGAAAUGAGAGCACAUUCUAAGGAAGUAACAAGGGUUUUUGUGGCCAGAAUCUCACAGACUGUAACAGAAGCAAUAUUUUCUAGGUGAGUUCUUCUCUAAAAAUUAUGUAAUAAUCAUAACUCUCUUCUUAAUGUAGUUUUUUCUGUUCGUUGCUGAGAGUUCUACAGUUGUGGAAUCCAGCUGUGACAUCCUUUUCAGUUAUUUUGAAACCUUGCGAGAUAACAGAUAUACAUGCCCAAGGAUCAAGGCUCAAAAGCUCAUCGUGGAAUUGGGUUCAUUACUUAUGAAACUGCAGUUUGAGCUCAUAUAGAUGUUAAAGAGUGGUGCUGUUAUGUUACUGAUGGCUGAGUUAUGGUGUUUGUUUGGCUGUGAAUUUCUGGGAAUAGCAGAAUGAGUUGCAGCUGGGAUUGCAACUAGAUGAACAUUGCAGGGAAGUGAUUGAAGCUGCAGAAUGGAUGUGGUGAUGUUGUUGCAACUAGAUGAACAAUGAAGGAUGGUGCUCUAAAUGGAAUUGUGGAGUUGCUUCUAUGAGAUGGAUGUAGGAUAUGAAGGAUAAGGAGAUGGUGGUUCUGCUGAGAAGGGUCUAGAAGCAGGCAUUGCCUGGCCUACAGGGUUACAGCUCAUUGGACACCGAACACUGGUAUGCAGUUAUGAGAUAAUGAACUCCCCUGAAAGGGCCUGCCACCUUGCAAAGAGUGCUUUUAAAGAAGCUAUAAUAAAGAUGGAUACUUGAGUGAAGAAUCUUAUAAAGACAGUACUUGGAUUAUGCAACUAUCGAGGGAUAAAGAUGAAAUUUCCAAGUAUGAUGGGGUUGACCCUAGCAAGCCAGCUUUCGUCGGGCCUCAAGAUGGGCAGUUAGUAAGCUCUUUUUAUGUAAUCUACACAGUAUAUCGAUGAUAUGGAAGAGGCACGCAACACCGUGGGGAACAUAUGGGAUUUGUCUAUUAAUAUCACUGGGACAAGUACAUGCCAUCUUAUUUGAACACCACUGUCCUUCCUAUAAAGCAUAUUAGACCUCAUAAGUUUGUAAGCCAGAAAUUGUGAUUUUAAAUUUGAUGGUUUGGUACCGAUUUCUCUGAGUUACUGAUUUUAACAUGCAUUCUAGAUGAUGUUAAUUGAUUUUGAGUUUGAUGUUUCAUUUCAUAUACAUUCUUAGCUUUUCA